rnacentral:rRNA from 1 species
CAGUAGCCGCGGUAAUACCGAGGGUGCGAGCGUUAAUCGGAUUUACUGGGCGUAAAGCGUGCGUAGGCGGCUUCUUAAGUCGGAUGUGAAAUCCCUGAGCUUAACUUAUGAAUUGCAUUCGAUACUGGGAAGCUAGAGUAUGGGAGAGGAUGGUAGAAUUCCAGGUGUAGCGGUGAAAUGCGUAGAGAUCUGGAGGAAUACCGAUGGCGAAGGCAGCCAUCUGGCCUAAUACUGACGCUGAGGUACGAAAGCAUGGGGAGCAAACAGGAUUAGAUACCCCCGUAGUCCCUGUCUCUUAUAC